CGGAGGGUGCAAGCGUUAUCCGGAUUCACUGGGUUUAAAGGGUGUGUAGGCGGGUAUUUAAGUCAGUGGUGAAAUCCUACAGCUCAACUGUAGAACUGCCAUUGAUACUAUUUAUCUUGAAUAUUGUUGAGGUAGGCGGAAUACAUCAUGUAGCGGUGAAAUGCUUAGAUAUGAUGUAGAACACCGAUUGCGAAGGCAGCUUACUAAGCAAAUAUUGACGCUGAGGCACGAAAGCGUGGGGAUCAAACAGGAUUAGAUACCCUGGUAGUCCACGCCCUAAACGAUGAUUACUCGACGUGCGCGAUAUACAGUGCGCGUCUGAGCGAAAGCAUUAAGUAAUCCACCUGGGAAGUACGUCCGCAAGGAUG
rnacentral:rRNA from 1 species